CGAACGAACUCUGGUAUUGAUUGGUGCUUGCAUCAUGAUUUACAUUUGAGUGAGUGGCGAACUGGUGAGUAACACGUGGGAAACCUGCCCAGAAGCGGGGGAUAACACCUGGAAACAGAUGCUAAUACCGCAUAACAACUUGGACCGCAUGGUCCGAGUUUGAAAGAUGGCUUCGGCUAUCACUUUUGGAUGGUCCCGCGGCGUAUUAGCUAGAUGGUGAGGUAACGGCUCACCAUGGCAAUGAUACGUAGCCGACCUGAGAGGGUAAUCGGCCACAUUGGGACUGAGACACGGCCCAAACUCCUACGGGAGGCAGCAGUAGGGAAUCUUCCACAAUGGACGAAAGUCUGAUGGAGCAACGCCGCGUGAGUGAAGAAGGGUUUCGGCUCGUAAAACUCUGUUGUUAAAGAAGAACAUAUCUGAGAGUAACUGUUCAGGUAUUGACGGUAUUUAACCAGAAAGCCACGGCUAACUACGUGCCAGCAGCCGCGGUAAUACGUAGGUGGCAAGCGUUGUCCGGAUUUAUUGGGCGUAAAGCGAGCGCAGGCGGUUUUUUAAGUCUGAUGUGAAAGCCUUUCGGCUCAACCGAAGAAGUGCAUCGGAAACUGGGAAACUUGAGUGCAGAAGAGGACAGUGGAACUCCAUGUGUAGCGGUGAAAUGCGUAGAUAUAUGGAAGAACACCAGUGGCGAAGGCGGCUGUCUGGUCUGUAACUGACGCUGAGGCUCGAAAGUAUGGGUAGCAAACAGGAUUAGAUACCCUGGUAGUCCAUACCGUAAACGAUGAAUGCUAAGUGUUGGAGGGUUUCCGCCCUUCAGUGCUGCAGCUAACGCAUUAAGCAUUCCGCCUGGGGAGUACGGCCGCAAGGCUGAAACUCAAAGGAAUUGACGGGGGCCCGCACAAGCGGUGGAGCAUGUGGUUUAAUUCGAAGCUACGCGAAGAACCUUACCAGGUCUUGACAUACUAUGCAAAUCUAAGAGAUUAGACGUUCCCUUCGGGGACAUGGAUACAGGUGGUGCAUGGUUGUCGUCAGCUCGUGUCGUGAGAUGUUGGGUUAAGUCCCGCAACGAGCGCAACCCUUAUUAUCAGUUGCCAGCAUUAAGUUGGGCACUCUGGUGAGACUGCCGGUGACAAACCGGAGGAAGGUGGGGAUGACGUCAAAUCAUCAUGCCCCUUAUGACCUGGGCUACACACGUGCUACAAUGGAUGGUACAACGAGUUGCGAACUCGCGAGAGUAAGCUAAUCUCUUAAAGCCAUUCUCAGUUCGGAUUGUAGGCUGCAACUCGCCUACAUGAAGUCGGAAUCGCUAGUAAUCGCGGAUCAGCAUGCCGCGGUGAAUACGUUCCCGGGCCUUGUACACACCGCCCGUCACACCAUGAGAGUUUGUAACACCCAAAGUCGGUGGGGUAACCUUUUAGGAACCAGCCGCCUAAGGUGGGACAGAUGAUUAG
rnacentral:rRNA from 2 species